UAGAGGAGUUCUGAUUGAAAAACUUCCAAUUGGAAAUGGUCUAAAUAUCUUAAUAGGAAAAGAUUUAACGAUUUGUAAAGCCCAGCAAAAUCGUUUGAUAGUUUUGCAAGGGUCGUCAAAACUCUAACCAUUAACAUGAUAUCUCUACAGGACUUUUUUUUUUUGAAAAAUCUCUACAAGACUUUGCAACAACGUCAAUGACUUACAUAACAAUAAGGAGCAAACAUGCAGAUAAUAACACUUUCAGUUCAUUGGAUGUUUUUUUUAAAAAGGUCUUGAUAUUAAUUUUUAGAUUAUUUUUAAUAUACAUGAGCAAUUUUUUUUAAAAAAAUGAUCUAGUGUACACGAACCGGUGAAAACUUGAAACCCUA
rnacentral:lncRNA from 1 species